UUUGUUGUUUUAUUUGUACAAUAUAAUCAGAACCACUCAAGUUCUUUGCUCAACCACCCAAGUUCAUCUCUGUAAAAUCAGAAGCACAACAAUCAACACUCAGUAGUCUGCAUAAGCACAACCACAAGAGAAUAGAACACUAGUACACUGUCGAAAUUCCAAAUUAACAAGAAUAGUCGUUGCUUCCUGCCUUGCCUUCCUUUUUGUCCAUGUUGUGUUGCACACAGAAUCCAAAAUCGUAGCCCGUUGAGGUGAACCAUAUGGCACCAGUUGACAUACUCUCACCUUUACCUUGCCAUCAUGAGGUAGCCGCGGAGAUAAAUAGAGAGAGAGAGGUAGAGGUCUGUCGGAGAUAGAGUUCGUCCACACCGUGGUGCUACCUGAUCUAGUGGCCAAGAUGCUCCACCAAACAAUUCCGGACGUGGUCGAGGCGGUGUCAAACGCGGAGAGCGAUGGAGAAGAGAGAAAUUGCUCACCAGAGCAAUUUGGCCAUCGCGGUGUUGCCAUUGGAUGUGUCCAGCAUCCUCCACAGCGACAACUCCGGUAAGAAACAUGCCAUAACAUUCGCCUUCUUGUCCUCUUUCUCUCUUGUACCGAAUAGAUUCGAGAGUGGAACGAUGGGAGAGUAGAUGGGCUCCGCGCCGGCGAUGGCGCCGCGCUAUCGGGUGCAUGCGUCGCUGCGCUGGGUUGUCAAGAGAAGGAAGAAAGUGUGAGAUCCAUCGAUUCCACGGUGUGGGUACCAGAUUAUUAGAAGUCGGUUAACGUUUCAGCCGGUUUGAUUUUAGGAAACUCAACAAGAAUCAAUAUCAAGCGCAUGAGAAUCAAUCGUAUCGAGUUGGGUAGCUUCCUUUUCUGGUCCGUCCGAUCCAUAUCAAGCGCAUGAGAAUCAAUCGUGUUGUUUUAAAUCUUGUCCGUCCAUCGCUGAUCCAGUGGUCUGCGUAGGUACCGAUUCCUUUAGUGGUCCAAUCUAAUCGCGACCAUCGGAUAAAGAUCCAGCGGCGGACAUGCACAGAUACCCCUCCGCAUGCCAGCCUUCCUAAAAGAGCAUCUGGAAAAUAUUGAAACUAACCCGCAAUCCAUGGCAAUAUAAAUUCUAUUACAAAACACUAUAGAUUUUAUUACAAUAGACUCUCAGCUCUCGGGUAUUAGAACCUACCGUCUCCUUCUUAGAGAAAAACAAAUAAAGUAAAUUAAGAAAAUCGUGGAAAACAUCAGAAAAACGUUUUCAAGUGUAAAAUUAAUAUAAAAUAACCUAGAAAUCAUAAAAAUUAAUAUCUUAUUCAUUUAACUCCGUUUUAGUGGUUCUCAAACCUACGAUAUCGUAGCGCCAUCUAGAACAUUCUUACGCAGCUUGAUUUCAUAUUUGGUGUAAUGUUAUUUGUAUCAUUAUUUGCUUAUUUGUAUAUAUUGCUACGAGUAGAAGCGAGGUUACGAGGAAUCUGAACCCAAUUUUGAGAACUACCUGGAGUUGUACCAAAAAGACAACUUGUGUCCUUGAUAACAUUCUUUGACCUAACAAUAUUUAUGAUUUUGUUAUCACCGUGGCACAUUUAGGCUAAAUUGAUGAGAAGCCUUACACUAUACUUUCCUCCACACUUGCUGAGCGGUGACCGUAUGAGAGCUCACCCUUACUAUAACCACACUAGGUCAAGAGCAGGUACCGCCAAGAGGAGGAUUAUGAAGAUGAGUUCGGAGAGGUCUAUGUCGUUGUCUCCCAGUCAACUAGGGUUGUGGAGGAUCGUUGUCGUCAUAUGGUGU
rnacentral:lncRNA from 1 species